rnacentral:rRNA from 1 species
GGUUUCUUGAUAAAUAUUAGAAAUUUGACCUGCCCACUGAGGAAUUGAAGGGCCGCAGUAUUUUGACUGUGCAAAGGUAGCAUAAUCAUUAGUCUUUUAAUUGGGGGCUGGAAUGAAUGGUUAGACGAGGUAAAAGCUGUCUUUUAUAAAAGAAUUGAAUUUAUAUUUUGAGUAAAAAGACUUAAAUAUAUUUAAGGGACGAGAAGACCCUAUAGAGUUUAAUAAAUGAUAUAUUUAAUUGAGUUUAGAAGGGAUUUAUAAUUAAUAUAAAAUUUAUUUAGUUGGGGUGACUGAAAGAUAUAAAAAACUCUUUAGAAUAUUGAAUAUUAAUUGGUAGAUAUUUGAUCCAUAAGUAGUGAGAAAGAGAAUAAAUUACCUUAGGGAUAACAGCAUAAUCUUCUUUAAGAGUUCUUAUUAAAAAGAAGGGUUAUGACCUCGAUGUUGGAUUAAGAUAAGAUUUGGGUGAAGUAGUUCAAAUACUAGGUCUGUUCGACCUUUAAAUUCUUACA